UUAUGUUAUUUAAUAUAUAUUAUCUAUCACUCAAUUAGUUUCUGAAUACAUAACCACAGAACACCUGUGUGUUCUGUGACAUAACCUUCUUUUUUUUUCAUUUUGGGUUAGUCAUAUAUUUUCUCGCACUUAUUCAUUGCAAUAUUAUUGUGACUUUAUAUGUUUACGUGUUUGAUGAAGUUCGCAAAUCGAUUUCGAAGUUACAUUUUACUUUGCAUAACUUAAGUGAUAGUUUUACUUGACAUAACUAAGUAAGAUCACCAUCAUGGCAAGAAAGUAUUCAGCAAAUUUUUAUAAGAAAGUGAAAAUCCAGACGGACAUGAGCCUGAGUUAUCCGAAUAUUCCACCCUCUGCUUCUUUUUCUUCGAUAGUUGAGAAUGAGAUCAGGAAUGAAGAUGAUGUUGAAAUGCACAUGCCGGAAUUGCAAAACCCAGUGCAUGAGUUGAAUGAGAUGGAAAAUAUUGAGUUAAUUAAGGAAGGAAAAGGUGGACACAUUUCUGAAUAUUCAUUCCCAAUAUUAGAUUCUCUUCAAACAAAAACUAGCCAUAUUGAUAACAAGAAAGUUGAUAAAGAGGAAGAUAUUAAGUCUAAGUUGAAAUUGUGGUCAAUUAAAUAUAAUAUAAGUCACGUUGCUCUAAGUGAUUUAUUGAAGAUAUUAAAAAGUUCAAAAGCCCAGUUAGAUGAACUUCCGAAUGAUGCUCGUACUAUUUUAUCAACAAAG